CAGGAUCUCACCUGGAUUUCAACUCUGGAUUUUAAAUUCCCCAAUGGCAAGGGACAAGAAGAGGAGGCUCAGAGAGGUUAAAUAACUUCCCAAGGCCACUGGGUAAGAAACCGUGGGAUCUGAAUGCAGCUGAGGCUGUUGGAUGCCAGAGCCUAGACACAGAGCACAGCCUCAUUCUUCAGCCUCCCAGGUCCUCUAACGCAGUGUGUCCAGAGCUGAGCCCGCCUAGAACUGCCUUCCUUUUCUCAGACACCUGGGAGACGUCCUAGACUCCAUCCUCUCUGUUGCCGCAAAACAUAACCAGUUGCUUCUUGAGUCUUUCUGUGAUGUGCACCUGCCUCCAUCCCAUGGCCACUGCCUCAGUGUCAAGGCCCUCAUGAACUCUCAUCUUUGUAUUUGCAAGAACCUCCCCACAAGCCCCCUCCAAGCUACCUUCCACAGAGCAACUAAAGAAAUCUAACUAGAAUAUUAAUGGUCACAGCUUAAUACCACCAUCUCCUCCCAGCGUGCUCAGGGGUUCCCCAUGGCCUGCGGGGUUGGUCUCCCAGCUCAGGAGGCCCUUCAUAAUCAGGCCUUCCUCACCUCUCUGGCUUCCUCCUGGCAACUUGGCUCCAGCUAUGCCAAAUUACCUGUGGUCCCCCAAGCACAGUAUACCCUUUCACAAUUCUGUGUCUUUACUGUGCUGUUCCUCCUGCCAGCAAUACCCUUCCUUGUCUUCUCUAUCCAACAAACUCUUAUUCAUCCCUCAAAACCCUGAUAUGGCAUCUUCUCCCUUAUUCUGAAGCUUUUUCUGACCUCCCAAAGACAAAGGGUUUAAUACCUCCAGCAACACAGCCCUGCACUGUAAUGAAAGGGCUGGCUCCCCUAGAAAG
rnacentral:lncRNA from 10 species